GCUCCAAUAGCGUAUAUUUAAGUUGUUGCAGUUAAAAAGCUCGUAGUUGGAUUUCGGGUGGGUGUUAGCGGUCCGGCUCUGCUGUGUACUGCUAAUGCCUAUCUUUCUGUCGGGGACGGGCUCUUGGGCUUCAUUGUCCGGGACUCGGAGUCGACGUGGUUACUUUGAGUAAAUUAGAGUGUUCAAAGCAAGCGUUCGCU
rnacentral:rRNA from 1 species